UCCAUAUCAUAAGGAUAUGCCCUUAGAGCCU
rnacentral:piRNA from 1 species